GCCUGAUCAUGGCUCAGAUUGAACGCUGGCGGGAUGCUUUACACAUGCAAGUCGAACGGCAGCACGGACUUCGGUCUGGUGGCGAGUGGCGAACGGGUGAGUAAUGUAUCGAACGUGCCUAGUAGCGGGGGAUAACUACGCGAAAGCGUAGCUAAUACCGCAUACGCCCUUCGGGGGAAAGCGGGGACCUUCGGGCCUCGCACUAUUAGAGCGGCCGAUAUCGGAUUAGCUAGUUAGUAACGGCUCACCAAGGCGACGAUCCGGUAGCUGGUUUGAGGUGAUCGACCUGCUGCACUGGGACCGCGCCCAAGAUCCAUGUGAGUGCUGCAGUAGAAUUCUAGAUAACGGAAACCUUCUGAUCCGCCAUCCUGGCGCGAUGGCAUCACGGGGUUGCAAAGCACUUUGGCAGGAAGUAAAGAAACGGCACGGGAUAAUACCCCGUGCAACUGACGGUACCUGGCAGAAUAAGCACCGGCUAACUACGUGCCAGCAGCCGCGGUAAUACGUAGGUGCAAGCGUUAUCUGAAUUACUGAGCGCAAAGCGUGCGCAGGCGGUUCGGAAAGAAAGAUGUGAAAUCCUGUGAGCUUAACUUUGGAACUGCAUUUUAACUACCGAGCUAGAGUGUAAGCCAGAGGGAGGUGGAAUUCAUAGCAGUGAAAUGCGUAGAUAUGCGGAGGAACACCGAUGGCGAAGGCAGCCUCCUGGGAUAAUCGACGUCAUUGGUGCACGAAAGCGGGGGAGCAAACAGACUAGAUACCCUGGUAGUCCACGCUCCUAAACGAUGUCAACUAGCUGCUGGGGUCGGGCCUUGGUAGCGCAGCUAACGCGUGAAGUUGACCGCCUGGGGACACGGCCAAAGAUUAAACCGUUGCGCGAAUCGAUGACCCGCACAAGCGGUGGAUGAUGUGGAUUAAUUCGAUGCAACGCGAAAAACCUUACCUACCCUUGACAUGUCUGGAAUCCCGAAGAGAUUUGGGAGUGUCGCACAGAACCGAACACAGGUGCUGCACGUUGCCGUCAGCUCGUGUCGGAGAUGUUGGUUGAAAGUCCGCAACGAGCGCAACCCUUGUCAUUAGUUGCGUUAACAGGCGGCACUUUGCUGAGACUGCCGGUGACAAACCGAGGAAGGUGGGGAUGACGUCAAGUCCUCAUGGCCCUUAUGGGUAGGGCUUCACACGUCAUACAAUGGUCGGGACAGAGGGUCGCCAACCCGCGAGGGGGAGCCAAUCCCAGAAACCCGAUCAACCGGAUCGCAGUCUGCAACUCGACUGCGUGAAGUCGGAAUCGCUAGUAAUCGCGGAUCAGCAUGUCGCGGUGAAUACGUUCCCAAGUUCUGUACACUGCCCGUCACACCGCGGGGAGUGGGUUUUACCAGAAGUGAGCAGUUUGCACCGUAAGGAGGGCGAUUACCACGGUAGGAUUCAUGACUGGGGUGAAGUCGUAACAAGGUAGCCUCAGCAUGUUCCGAUAAGUUCCGUGAAGGCUGGUCAA
rnacentral:rRNA from 1 species